CAAACCACGAAUCACCUACUCGUUCCGUUGAUCCAUCCAGGAACUAAACCACCGGUCUGGUCUGGUUUUCGGAUGGAUCAAUAGAACGAGCAGGUGAUUCACGGUUUUUG
rnacentral:pre_miRNA from 1 species